AAAGACCCCGUGCACCUUUACUACAGCUUCACACUGGUAUUCGUAACGACAUGUGUAGGAUAGGUGGUAGACGUUGAAACCAGGGCGCCAGCCUUGGUGGAGUCACCCUUGAAAUACCACCCUUGUCCUUAUGGAUAUCUAACCGCGGCGCAACAACGUCCGGGACCGUGUGUGGCGGGUAGUUUGACUGGGGCGGUCGCC
rnacentral:rRNA from 1 species